GAUGAACGCUGGCGGCGUGCCUAACACAUGCAAGUCGAACGGAGUCGUUUUGGUAAUCUCUUCGGAGCUGGAAUUCUCGACUUAGUUGCGAACGGGUGAGUAACGCGUGAGCAUUCUGCCUUUAUGAGGGGGCUAACAGUCGGAAACGGCUGCUACUACCGCUUAAAGCAUUAAAUUCGCAUGUUUUUGAUGCCAAAGGAGCAAUCCCCUUUUAUAUGAGCUCGCGUCUGUUUAGCUAGUUGGCGGGGUAACGGCACAACAAGGCGACGAUCAGUAGCCGGACUGAGAGGGAGAACGGACACAGUGAGACAGAGACGCGGCACAGACUCAUACGAGAGGCAGGAGGGGAGAAUAUUGCGCAAGGGGGGAAACUCUGACGCAGCAACGCCGCGUGAUAGAAGAAGGCCUUGGGGUUGUAAAGAUCUUGAAUCAGGGACGAAACAAAUGACGGUACCGGAAGAAUAAGCUCCGGCUAACUACGUG
rnacentral:rRNA from 1 species